UGGAAAGAACGGACUGAGGCUUGGGGCCCAUCUCUCCUGGAGACCUAAGAUAAUGAAGUGCUUUGCCUUCCCUCCUGUCUCUCCUUCUGGCCACAGACAACAGCUGUUUACUCCAGCGUUUCUCUGUUCUUCUUGCAGCCUGGCUGAUUAUAGGACAGCAAGCAGCCCAUGAAGUUGGUCUGUUCAGAGGGGGCAUCCUCCCAGAGGCGUUUGGAGAUAUCUCCACCCAGGACUGUCCCUCCUCACAAAGAAAUGACUGCCUGACAGCAGGUAUUUGGCACAUUGCAGUGCCAAGUGACCUAUAAGCAUCUAUGACAGCUACGAUCUCGUUCAUUAUUUCUCUCCUGGAUGCUGUGUGCAGUGGGAGAUGCAUCCCUGCAUAGCGGCUAUAGAGCUGCCCCUGAAGCUGGAAAGGCCUGCGUUCUAGUCUUGCCUCUGACAUAUACUGGGCAAAUCGCUUAAACUCUCAGUGACCUAAGAAGAAGAACCAGGGCCUUGCUGGAGCCAGCUCUGACAAGCUCUUCAA